rnacentral:tmRNA from 1 species
GGGGGCGUAAUGGUUUCGACGGGAUUGUUGAGACUUGAUAAGCGGGUAGAGGAUUCUCGUUGGCCUCUUAAAAAACGAGAACUUAAAUUUAAACGCUAAAAACGAUAAUUUCGCUUUAGCUGCUGCCUAAGGGCAGCCCGUCAGUCCCGGGUUAACUGCACCCGGGGUAGCUGGCGUCAUCAAGUCAGUCCUUUUGCAUAGGAAGGUCAAAUGCUAGCACUAAUUCAGCCGUAGCCUUGAGCUGAAUCGGACUUUAAAGGCUACCGAAAACGAAACCUUGCCUGUGGGGGUUUGUCGUAGGGAAACGCAAGGUUAUUGUCCUGCAAAGGAUACGUGACCGGGCACAAAGCAUAGGCUACACCCGUAGAAGUUCUUGAGGAUAUGGUUUCGGACAGGGGUUCGACUCCCCUCGCCUCCACCA